ACAUCCCGAAGUUUGCACUUCGAUCAAAUUUCUCAACGUAAGUCUUUGUUAUAGUCAUUUUGGCUACUGAAAAAAUAACUUGGUUAGAUCCGGCUCUGAUACCAAUUUAUUAGGAUCGAGAACCUGGUUAUUGCGGAAUUUAGCCAAAUAAUGUUAUAAUGACAAUAACAAAGACAAUAACAAGUUGAUAGUAAUGGUACUUUAAGAAAAAAUAAA
rnacentral:lncRNA from 1 species